UUAACUAGUGUUCAGUGCGAACUUGGGUUCCUUGACUCGUGGAUGUGUGGGGGUGACUAUCCUGGCGCUCGGUGAAUUAUUUAAUGAUUCUAUGGUUAAAAACAGUGUAUUUCAGUGCCUUUCUAAAAAUGGAAACAUGAGGGGUUAAUAAAGAUAGACGUUUUGAGGAGGAUACCAAGAAUAAUUAAUACUAUUUCACACAGAAAAAGCCACGAUGUUAGACGACUUGAAGCGAGCACUCCGCAUGGAGUCCCCAACACCGAGGCUGAGUGAAUCCAAUCUCAAGAAGUUAUCGCGAGGACUGAGAUCCUCCAAGAAAAGCCUCCACUCCGUGCACUCAGCCCUUGAGACCCACAGCGUCCAGGAUGGGCAGCUCAGCGGACGAUCUGUAUCCCUU